rnacentral:rRNA from 1 species
UACGGAGGGUGCAAGCGUUGUUCGGAAUCACUGGGCGUAAAGGGCGCGUAGGCGGGAUGGCAAGUCGGUCGUGAAAUCCCUCGGCUCAACCGAGGAACGUCGAUCGAUACUGCUGUUCUUGAGGAUUGCAGAGGAGACUGGAAUUCCCGGUGUAGCGGUGAAAUGUGUAGAGAUCGGGAGGAACACCGGUGGCGAAGGCGGGUCUCUGGGCAAUUCCUGACGCUGAGGCGCGAAAGCGUGGGGAGCAAACGGG